rnacentral:tRNA from 1 species
GCUCCUGUAGAUUACUGGUUAGAUCAUCUGCCUUUCAAGCAGAGGGAACGGGUUCAAUUCCCGUCAGGAGUACCA